CUCCCUCUGUGAAGACAAACAUCAGUGAGCUGCUAAUGCAUUCAAUACGAGAGCAGAGGCCACGCCUCCCCAAGAGCAGAGGCCACGCCUCCCCGAGAGCAGAAGCCACACCUCCCCAAGAGCAGAGGCCACGCCUCCCCGAGAGCAGAGGCCACGCCUCCCCAAGAGAAGAGGCCACGCCUCCCCGAGAGCAGAGGCCACGCCUCCCCAAGAGAAGAGGCCACGCCUCCCCAAGAGCAGGAGCCACACUUUCCCCAUCAUGACACGUGGAGGUCCACAGAGCUCAGUCCUGGGCCCUCUGCUCUAGAACUAGAACUCGGAUGUUAAGUGUCAUCAGAGUUCAUGCAGAUCAAUGGACAAAUGACCUAAAAUCCUGCGUUCAUCUCAGCCGUAAAGACGAGUGAGAAGCCUGUGGGAAUCCACCUCACUGGUGCAUGAUGGGAAAGAGAGUUUCUGCCUGAGUUUCACACCAUCAAACCAAAUGAAAUAAAACAGAAUUUUUUUUUCCUGUAAUCCAGGCACGUCCAAAGUCUGGCAGCGUUCAGAUUUCCAUCAGCUCCUUUCAUAAAGUUAACAUGAGCAUUUCCUAAAAACUGAGUUUGAUUUCCUGAUCAGAACGUUCCGAACUUUCCUGAAACUUUCCAGAUCAUUUCUGAAGGUAAAAAACACCGAAAACUGGACAAUGAGGACCGCCGCUCCAGGACAAGAGGAAACCGGCGGAUUUUUCCUGUGAAAUACAGAAACUGCAGCUGUUUCCAAGGAGAUCAGGAUCAAGAGGAACUAGCAGACUGGACUGGACUAACUAUUACACCAAAUGAACGACGAACAGGGGAGAAUUGAUGGUAAUUCUUCCUGUAGAACCUCAUCUGAGGGUCAAAGAUUCAGCUCAGCCCCGACCAUCAUACUGCCGCCACCCUGUUUAAAGUUCUGAGCUGUUUUUGACCUCCAGAGAGGCUCCUCCCACAGGAGGUCCUGAGGACCGCCCAGCUGAGUUCCGUCUCAGGAUCAGGUUACAUCUGCAGGAGUCUCCUGUGAGGAUCAGCUGUGAGGCAGACCCGGACCCAGACCUGGACCCGGACCUGCCCCUCAUGUGGAGCGGACCGGCGGGUUCUGGAGGUUCUACAGACCCAGUCGAAGUCGCAGGAGUUCCCGUCCUCUCGCUGCGUCUCCAGGUGGUCGCAGACUCCGGGGGUCUUCCGCACAGCCACGAAGGCUACAGCCAUGAAGAAGGAGGCUACAUAGUAGGGCUUCAGCAGCCACUUGUACACCUGCGGCAGGUGGUAGAGGAAGGCCAGCAAUGGCGUCAGCAGCGCCAUUAUGUCUGCAGAUCGGCGCUAUUUCCUCUAGUACUCCCGACGUUUGUUAACCAGCCGUUACUUUAGUAUGAAAGGCUCCGUUAGCAUUGCUACGUGAGCGAGAAGCAAACGAGUGACAGGGAACCUGGUUUCCGGUUCGGAAGUUUCCAAAUAAAAGACUUAAUUUAAAAGGAA